GGCCUCGUGGCCCAAUGGCAAGGCGUCUGACUACGAUAGGAGCUCCACAAGUCUCCUUAGAUAUCAGGAGAUUCUGGGUUCGACCCCCAGCGAGGUCA
rnacentral:tRNA from 1 species